rnacentral:rRNA from 1 species
CGGUGUUUAACUGGCGUGAUGUGGGACGUCCUACCGGUGGGCUUAGCCUCGCGAGGGGCGGCCCAACUAAUAUCCCGUCGCGGUGCUCUUUACUGAGUGUCGAGUCGGGCCGGUACGUUUACUUUGAACAAAUUAGAGUGCUUAAAGCAGGCUAUCCUCGCCUGAAUACUGCGUGCAUGGAAUAAUGGAAUAGGACCUCGGUUCUAUUUUGUUGGUUUUCGGAACCCCGAGGUAAUGAUUAAUAGGGACAGAUGGGGGCAUUCGUAUUGCGACGUUAGAGGUGAAAUUCUUGGAUCGUCGCAAGACGGACAGAAGCGAAAGCAUUUGCCAAAAAUGUUUUCACUAAUCAAGAACGAAAGUUAGAGGUUCGAAGGCGAUCAGAUACCGCCCUAGUUCUAACCAUAAACGAUGCCAGCUAGCGAUCCGCCGAAGUUCCUCCGAUGACUCGGCGGGCAGCUUCCGGGAAACCAAAGCUUUUGGGUUCCGGGGGAAGUAUGGUUGCAAAGCUGAAACUUAAAGGAAUUGACGGAAGGGCACCACCAGGAGUGGAGCCUGCGGCUUAAUUUGACUCAACACGGGAAACCUCACCAGGCCCAGACACCGGAAGGAUUGACAGAUUGAUAGCUCUUUCUUGAUUCGGUGGGUGGUGGUGCAUGGCCGUUCUUAGUUGGUGGAGCGAUUUGUCUGGUUAAUUCCGAUAACGAACGAGACUCUAGCCUGCUAAAUAGGCGUACCUUAUGGUAUCGCGAAGGCCCCCGGCUUCGGCCGGUGGGUUUUUACUACCAACGUACAAACAAAUCUUCUUAGAGGGACAGGCGG